AUUGAACGCUGGCGGCAUGCCUUACACAUGCAAGUCGAACGGCAGCAGGGGAGAAGCUUGCUUUUCCUGCCGGCGAGUGGCGAACGGGUGAGUAAUACAUCGGAACGUGCCCUGUAGUGGGGGAUAACUAGUCGAAAGAUUAGCUAAUACCGCAUACGACCUGAGGGUGAAAGUGGGGGACCGCAAGGCCUCAUGCUAUAGGAGCGGCCGAUGUCUGAUUAGCUAGUUGGUGGGGUAAAGGCCUACCAAGGCGACGAUCAGUAGCUGGUCUGAGAGGACGAUCAGCCACACUGGGACUGAGACACGGCCCAGACUCCUACGGGAGGCAGCAGUGGGGAAUUUUGGACAAUGGGCGAAAGCCUGAUCCAGCAAUGCCGCAUGUGUGAAGAAGGCCUUCGGGUUGUAAAGCACUUUUGUCCGGAAAGAAAUGGCUCUGGUUAAUACCUGGGGUCGAUGACGGUACCGGAAGAAUAAGGACCGGCUAACUACGUGCCAGCAGCCGCCGUAA
rnacentral:rRNA from 1 species